rnacentral:rRNA from 1 species
GUAUCAAUAAGCGGAGGAAAAGAAACUAACAAGGAUUCCCCUAGUAACGGCGAGUGAAGCGGGAUGAGCUCAAAUUUAAAAUCUGGCUGGUUUACUAGUCCGAAUUGUAGUUUAAAGAAGUGUUUUCGGGGGUGAACUAGGUCUAAGUGCUCUGAAACGAGCUAUCAUAGAGGGUGACAAUCCCGUCCUUGGCCUUAGUCUUUACCCCUAUGUGAUACACUUUCAAAGAGUCGGGUUGUUUGGGAAUGCAGCCCAAAAUGGGUGGUAAAUACCAUCUAAAGCUAAAUAAAGGCGAGAGACCGAUAGCGCACAAGUA